AUUGAACGCUGGCGGAAUGCUUUACACAUGCAAGUCGAACGGUAGAGGGAGCAACCCCUCGAGAGUGGCGAACGGGUGAGUAAUAUAUCGGAACGUGCCCAGUCGUGGGGGAUAACGUAGCGAAAGUUACGCUACUACCGCGUACGAUCUAAGGAUGAAAGCGGGGGAUCGCAAGACCUCGCGCGAUUGGAGCGGCCGAUAUCAGAUUAGGUAGUUGGUGGGGUAAAGGCUCACCAAGCCAACGAUCUGUAGCUGGUCUGAGAGGACGCCGAGCCACACCGGAACUAAGACACGGUCCACACUCCUACGGGAGGCAGCAGUGGGGAAUUUUGAACAAUGGCCGCAAGUCUGAUCCAGCCAUUCCGCGUGCAGGAUGAAGGCCCUCGGGUUGUAAACUGCUUUUGUACGGAACGAAAAGGUCUCUCUUAAUACGGGGGGCUCAUGACGGUACCGUAAGAAUAAGCACCGGCUAACUACGUGCCAGCCGCCGCAGUAA
rnacentral:rRNA from 1 species